CGGGUGAGUAACGCGUGGAUAACCUGCCUCACACUGGGGGAUAACAGUUAGAAAUGACUGCUAAUACCGCAUAAGCGCACAGUACCGCAUGGUACAGUGUGAAAAACUCCGGUGGUGUGAGAUGGAUCCGCGUCUGAUUAGCCAGUUGGCGGGGUAACGGCCCACCAAAGCGACGAUCAGUAGCCGACCUGAGAGGGUGACCGGCCGCAUUGGGACUGAGACACGGCCCAA
rnacentral:rRNA from 1 species